rnacentral:rRNA from 1 species
AACGAACGCUGGCGGCAUGCCUAACACAUGCCAGUCGAACGAGACCUUCGGGUCUAGUGGCGCACGGGUGCGUAACGCGUGGGAACCUGCCCUUAGGUUCGGAAUAACUCCCCGAAAGGGGUGCUAAUACCGGAUAAUGUCUUCGGACCAAAGAUUUAUCGCCUUUGGAUGGGCCCGCGCUGGAUUAGCUAGUUGGUAGGGUAAAAGCCUACCAAGGCGACGAUCCAUAGCUGGUCUGAGAGGAUGAUCAGCCACACUGGGACUGAGACACGGCCCAGACUCCUACGGGAGGCAGCAGUGGGGAAUAUUGGACAAUGGGCGAAAGCCUGAUCCAGCAAUGCCGCGUGAGUGAUGAAGGCCUUAGGGUUGUAAAGCUCUUUUACCCGGGAUGAUAAUGACAGUACCGGGAGAAUAAGCUCCGGCUAACUCCGUG